rnacentral:rRNA from 1 species
CAGUCGCCGCGGGAACACGUAGGGUGCGAGCGUUAAUCGGAAUUACUGGGCGUAAAGCGUGCGCAGGCGGUUCGUUAAGACAGAUGUGAAAUCCCCGGGCUUAACCUGGGAACUGCAUUUGUGACUGGCGAGCUAGAGUAUGGCAGAGGGGGGUAGAAUUCCGCGUGUAGCAGUGAAAUGCGUAGAUAUGCGGAGGAACACCGAUGGCGAAGGCAAUCCCUUGGGCCUGCACUGACGCUCAUGCACGAAAGCGUGGGGAGCAAACAGGAUUAGAUACCCCAGUAGUCCCUGUCUCUUAUAC